rnacentral:lncRNA from 1 species
AAGUCUAAUCCUGAACCGGUUCAAAACUCGAGUCAACUCAUGGAUGAAUCGGGUGACUCCAUGCCGAUGGACUUUCCCUUCCUAGACGACUUUUUCAACGAUUCGAUCCCUCCCAUGCCGCUUUUUGACGAGCCAUGCUCCUCGAGUGUGUUCAGUGAUGUGGUCAGUGAUGAGCCAAGUGACAGCGUGUUCCUCGACGCGACUUUUCAUGAUGUCGGCUUCGUCUCGACCUCUUUCGGAGAUUUCGGUACCUCGCCGGCCAUGUUCGGUCAAGUCGACGAUUAUUUCCAAGACAUCGACGAUCUGUUCCUGUCAGAUCC